ACACGACUACGAGUUUGACCUGGCUCAGGAUGAACGCUGGCGGCGUGCCUAAUACAUGCAAGUCGAACGAGGUGCUUUUGUAGCAAUACGAAAGUAUCCUAGUGGCGAACGGGUGAGUAACGCGUUGGUGACCUACCCCAAAGUGUGGGAUAACAGUUCGAAAGAACUGCUAAUACCGCAUGUGGUUAUCGGAUUUAGAAACUGAUAACUAAAGGAGCAAUUCGCUUUGGGAGGGACCUGCGUCCCAUCAGCUAGUUGGUGAGGUAAUGGCUCACCAAGGCUACGACGGGUAGGGGACCUGAGAGGGUGACCCCCCACAAUGGAACUGAAACACGGUCCAUACACCUACGGGUGGCAGCAGUAGGGAAUAUUGCACAAUGGGCGAAAGCCUGAUGCAGCAACGCCGCGUGUGCGAUGAAGGCCCUCGGGUCGUAAAGCACUUUUCUGAGAGAUGAGCAAGGACAGUAUCUCAGGAAUAAGUCUCGGCUAACUACGUG
rnacentral:rRNA from 1 species